rnacentral:tRNA from 1 species
AGGGCCGUAGCGCAGAGGUCGUCGCACCUGGCCUGCACAGCCGGAGGACGUCGGUUCGAAUCCGACCGGCCCCGCCA